UGCUUCCCGGUACUUCCCUCGGGCUCCCCCACAAGGAGCACAGCGGCCUCUCGCACCUUCCCGUGCUGGGCAGGCCCCUGCAGGGUGCUGGGGGAGCCUCAAACCAGCUCCCGUUAGCGGCCCCUUCUUCUCAGGGUCCCAUUUUACCAUUUAAUCUCUUGAGAAACCAGCCCUGAGGCGCUCUGGGGAGCUUUGCCUCUCCCGGGUGGUACCAGCUCAGUGUUUGACGAGGUGACUUUGGGCAGCUCCCUCUCCUCCAUCCCACAGGACCUUCUGUUCCUCCUCUUCCUCCAGCUGGAGCUUUUCCAAUGACUCUGGAAAGAGCAGCACGGAGGAGACGUCCUAGACUGUUAUUGAACAAAUGGAAAAUUGGAGCUGAAAGCAUUGAACACAUAAUGCUGUAACCUCUGGAGCAGCUGGAUGGAGCAAGGAGCAGAGAGGACUGACUACAGUCACAGGAGGAAGCAGUGGCAGCCUCAGGGGAAGGAAAAUAUGGUUGCAUAGACUGAUUUGAAGAGAAUAAGACUGAAAAUUCAUGUGGAGGAAAGCAACAAAGCCAACAGCAAAAAUGCCAAGAAAGCCUUGAACUGCUGUGUCACCUUCUUCCCUCCUGAAUUCUCCUGAGGACUCGUGCAGUCUGAAAUGUCUGAUGCAUUGGUAACAUGACACCUAUUAAGGGGCACAGGAAUCCAGUGUGAAGACUGGUUUUGGUACAAUUGAAGGUGACUGAUUUGGGGGUGGAGAGGGGAGUGGGGUUAUGUGUGUUUAAAUCAGGAGUUGAUACUGGAGAUUGGUGUAUCCCCUUUUUCUCAUAGCAGAGGGGUUUUUUUUCUGAUGGUUUGCUUAACUAAAAUAAUUUGGUCUUCUCAAGAGUAUCUGAUAGAGGAAUCUGGAAAAAAAGUGCUAAAACCAACCUGCAUUUAUUCCACAGCUGAACUUUUAAGUUUUACAGCUGUUGUUUUCCCAUUGUUUUAAUGGAUCUUACUUCCCCUGUAAGCAGAAUGGGUUUUCAGGUUGUGGAGCACUGUGAAGGUGUAUAAUAAGGGAACUGAAUGGUCUGAACCCUUUGGGACUUCUAUUUCUUUAUUACCUGAAGCAACUCUAUUGCCAGUAGAUCUUGCAAGUACACAGGGCAGCGUAGUGACUGCUGCACUGUAGUUAUUACUUUGUAACCCCAAAGGCAACUCCUUCUUUUCCUUUUGAGGCAGAAUGUUUUUAAUAAAGAUUUUAGUUUCUAUUCCAA